AGAGUUUGAUCAUGGCUCAGAUUGAACGCUGGCGGCAGGCCUAACACAUGCAAGUCGAACGGUAACAGGAAGCAGCUUGCUGCUUCGCUGACGAGUGGCGGACGGGUGAGUAAUGUCUGGGAAGCUGCCUGAUGGAGGGGGAUAACUACUGGAAACGGUAGCUAAUACCGCAUAAUGUCGCAAGACCAAAGAGGGGGACCUUCGGGCCUCUUGCCAUCGGAUGUGCCCAGAUGGGAUUAGCUUGUUGGUGGGGUAACGGCUCACCAAGGCGACGAUCCCUAGCUGGUCUGAGAGGAUGACCAGCCACACUGGAACUGAGACACGGUCCAGACUCCUACGGGAGGCAGCAGUGGGGAAUAUUGCACAAUGGGCGCAAGCCUGAUGCAGCCAUGCCGCGUGUAUGAAGAAGGCCUUCGGGUUGUAAAGUACUUUCAGCGGGGAGGAAGGGAGCAAAGUUAAUACCUUUGCUCAUUGACGUUACCCGCAGAAGAAGCACCGGCUAACUCCGUGCCAGCAGCCGCGGUAAUACGGAGGGUGCAAGCGUUAAUCGGAAUUACUGGGCGUAAAGCGCACGCAGGCGGUUUGUUAAGUCAGAUGUGAAAUCCCCGGGCUCAACCUGGGAACUGCAUCUGAUACUGGCAAGCUUGAGUCUCGUAGAGGGGGGUAGAAUUCCAGGUGUAGCGGUGAAAUGCGUAGAGAUCUGGAGGAAUACCGGUGGCGAAGGCGGCCCCCUGGACGAAGACUGACGCUCAGGUGCGAAAGCGUGGGGAGCAAACAGGAUUAGAUACCCUGAUAGUCCACGCCGUAAACGAUGUCGACUUGGAGGUUGUGCCCUUGAGGCGUGGCUUCCGGAGCUAACGCGUUAAGUCGACCGCCUGGGGAGUACGGCCGCAAGGUUAAAACUCAAAUGAAUUGACGGGGGCCCGCACAAGCGGUGGAGCAUGUGGUUUAAUUCGAUGCAACGCGAAGAACCUUACCUGGUCUUGACAUCCACGGAAGUUUUCAGAGAUGAGAAUGUGCCUUCGGGAACCGUGAGACAGGUGCUGCAUGGCUGUCGUCAGCUCGUGUUGUGAAAUGUUGGGUUAAGUCCCGCAACGAGCGCAACCCUUAUCCUUUGUUGCCAGCGGUCCGGCCGGGAACUCAAAGGAGACUGCCAGUGAUAAACUGGAGGAAGGUGGGGAUGACGUCAAGUCAUCAUGGCCCUUACGACCAGGGCUACACACGUGCUACAAUGGCGCAUACAAAGAGAAGCGACCUCGCGAGAGCAAGCGGACCUCAUAAAGUGCGUCGUAGUCCGGAUUGGAGUCUGCAACUCGACUCCAUGAAGUCGGAAUCGCUAGUAAUCGUGGAUCAGAAUGCCACGGUGAAUACGUUCCCGGGCCUUGUACACACCGCCCGUCACACCAUGGGAGUGGGUUGCAAAAGAAGUAGGUAGCUUAACCUUCGGGAGGGCGCUUACCACUUUGUGAUUCAUGACUGGGGUGAAGUCGUAACAAGGUAACCGUAGGGGAACCUGCGGUUG
rnacentral:rRNA from 1 species